ACACAUUACAAGUCUGUCACCUUGGUAGAAUAGACUCAGUAGACAAUUGUGUCAAUAUUACCUUAAAAUAAACUGCUGAUAUGCAGGUAUAUCUUUGUGCAUCAGUCUGUUGCAGAAAAA